CCUACGGGAGGCAGCAGUGAGGAAUAUUGGUCAAUGGCCGGAAGGCUGAACCAGCCAUGUCGCGUGAAGGUCAGUGCCCUAUGGGCGUUAAACUUCUUUUGUGCGGGAGCAAUAAUGGUCACGUGUGGCCAGACGAGAGUACCGUACGAAUAAGCAUCGGCUAACUCCGUGCCAGCAGCCGCGGUAAUACGGGGGAUGCAAGCGUUAUCCGGAUUUAUUGGGUUUAAAGGGUGCGUAGGCUGUGAGGUAAGUCAGCGGUGAAAUGCCCCCGCUCAACGGGGUGAAGUGCCAUUGAUACUGCCUGGCUGGAAUGCGGAUGCCGUGGGAGGAAUGUGUGGUGUAGCGGUGAAAUGCAUAGAUAUCACACAGAACACCGAUUGCGAAGGCAUCUCACGAAUCCGCGAUUGACGCUGAUGCACGAAAGCGUGGGUAUCAAACAGGAUUAGAUACCCGAGUAGUC
rnacentral:rRNA from 1 species